AGAGUUUGAUCCUGGCUCAGGACGAACGCUGGCGGCGUGCUUAACACAUGCAAGUCGAACGGAGAGCGAUGGAAGCUUGCUUCUAUCAAUCUUAGUGGCGAACGGGUGAGUAACGCGUAACCAACCUGCCCUUCAGAGGGGGAUAACAACGGGAAACCGUUGCUAAUACCGCGUACGAUUAAGCUUCGGCAUCGAAGCUUAAUGAAAGGUGGCCUCUAUAUAUAAGCUAUCGCUGAAGGAGGGGGUUGCGUCUGAUUAGCUAGUUGGAGGGGUAACGGCCCACCAAGGCAAUGAUCAGUAGCCGGUCUGAGAGGAUGAACGGCCACAUUGGGACUGAGACACGGCCCAAACUCCUACGGGAGGCAGCAGUGGGGAGUCUUCCGCAAUGGACGAAAGUCUGACGGAGCAACGCCGCGUGAGUGAUGACGGCCUUCGGGUUGUAAAGCUCUGUUAAUCGGGACGAAUGGUCUUUGUGUGAACAAUGCAAAGAUUUGACGGUACCGGAAUAGAAAGCCACGGCUAACUACGUGCCAGCAGCCGCGGUAAUACGUAGGUGGCAAGCGUUGUCCGGAUUUAUUGGGCGUAAAGGGAACGCAGGCGGUCCUUUAAGUCUGAUGUGAAAGCCUUCGGCUUAACCGAAGAAUUGCAUUGGAAACUGGAGGACUUGAGUGCAGAAGAGGAGAGUGGAACUCCAUGUGUAGCGGUGAAAUGCGUAGAUAUAUGGAAGAACACCAGUGGCGAAAGCGGCUCUCUGGUCUGUAACUGACGCCGAGGUUCGAAAGUGUGGGUAGCAAACAGGAUUAGAUACCCUGGUAGUCCACACCGUAAACGAUGAAUGCUAAGUGUUGGAAGGUUUCCGCCCUUCAGUGC
rnacentral:rRNA from 1 species